UAGGGGAGUCGGGGUUUGGCACCCCUCCCCAAGCCCAGGGUAACCCUUAAAGUGGAGGGGCA
rfam:Mustela putorius furo unplaced genomic scaffold scaffold00026, whole genome shotgun sequence.